rnacentral:rRNA from 1 species
AGUGAACGCUGGCGGUAUGCCUAACACAUGCAAGUCGAACGGCAGCACAGUAAGAGCUUGCUCUUACGGGUGGCGAGUGGCGGACGGGUGAGGAAUACAUCGGAAUCUACUUUUUCGUGGGGGAUAACGUAGGGAAACUUACGCUAAUACCGCAUACGACCUACGGGUGAAAGCAGGGGAUCUUCGGACCUUGCGCGAUUGAAUGAGCCGAUGUCGGAUUAGCUAGUUGGCGGGGUAAAGGCCCACCAAGGCGACGAUCCGUAGCUGGUCUGAGAGGAUGAUCAGCCACACUGGAACUGAGACACGGUCCAGACUCCUACGGGGGGCAGCAGUGGGGAAUAUUGGACAAUGGGCGCAAGCCUGAUCCAGCCAUACCGCGUGGGUGAAGAAGGCCUUCGGGUUGUAAAGCCCUUUUGUUGGGAAAGAAAAGCAGCAGGUUAAUACCCCGCUGUUCUGACGGUACCCAAAGAAUAAGCACCGGCUAACUUCGUG